rnacentral:rRNA from 1 species
AGGACGAACGCUGGCGGCGUGCCUAAUACAUGCAAGUAGAACGCUGAAGAGAGGAGCUUGCUCUUCUUGGAUGAGUUGCGAACGGGUGAGUAACGCGUAGGUAACCUGCCUUGUAGCGGGGGAUAACUAUUGGAAACGAUAGCUAAUACCGCAUAACAAUGGGUGACACAUGUCAUUUAUUUGAAAGGGGCAAUUGCUCCACUACAAGAUGGACCUGCGUUGUAUUAGCUAGUAGGUGAGGUAACGGCUACACCUAGGCGACGAUACAUAGCCGACCUGAGAGGGUGAUCGGCCACACUGGGACUGAGACACGGCCAGACUCCAGGGAGCAGCAGUAGGAAUCUGGACAAGUGGGGCAACCGUGACCGAGCAACGCCGCGUGAGU